ensembl:snRNA U2 U2 spliceosomal RNA
AUUCCUUCUCGGCCUUUUGGCUAAGAUCAAGUGUAGUAUCUGUUCUUAUCAGUUUAAUAUCUGAUAUGUCCUCUAUCUGAGGACAGUAUAUUAAACGGAUUUUUGAAGCUGGGAGUUGGAAUAGGAGCUUGCUCCGUCCACUCCACGCAUUGACCCAGUAUUGCAGUCCCUCUGGGAACAGUGCACCAAAA